rnacentral:lncRNA from 1 species
GACAUCGCGGUCAAGGCUGGGAGCCUACAGGUGGCUGCCAUGGGUGACCUAAUUUCAGUUGUCGCUUUCAUUCCCUUGAGCUAAAGAUGUAGCCAGCAUCCAAAAACGAGCCGAGCUCAGCUGGAAUCCUUUUCAUAACAUCCAUCCCCAUGCCUGUAUACUGAAGCAUGUUCUGUACGUUUUCCUUGGCAGUUUCAAAGAUUCAGGCCUUUGAACUGACUCUUAGACAGGGCAGAGCAACAGAACAGCGACUAAGACACUGGAUACAAAGAACUACAAGACAAAAGUCUAAAGAGUCAAUGUAUCAAAUUUACCAAACAGCUACAUAUUUAAGGAGCUGCUUGAACUUAGCUAUUACUUCAGGACUAACUUUAUUAAAGUGAAAUAAUAUUUGAUUCUUUCAGCAUCACUGCAGUGGUAAGAACUGCAGUGUAAUUCUACAAUGCAUGCAACAGACAAAAGACCAAGUUUAUAUCCUAGGUAUUAACCGUCUCAGAGCCUGACUCACGAAGCAUCCUGGUCACAUGAUUAGCAGAAUAUCUCAAGGACACAUCUCGCCAUAAGGUGACAGAGUCACAGAAUCUGGGAUGCGGUGUACUCCAGGGAUGCUGGGAUGCUGGUCGUACCUAUAGAGGAGGAUGUCUCCGUUACAGGAACACAACUUGGACUACUCUGUCUUCUGAGGACCUGAGGUGCUCUCGUCUCCAGAUCAGGGCAGCGUUUGAUGGUUGAUGAUUUCUCUUCAUCUAGGAGACUGUCAUCAGGAUACAACUAAAAGAACAACAACAAUGUGCGCACCUGGGCAGUGGAUGAAGAGAAGCAGGAGAAGAGACAGUCCCGACAAGACUUUAGCAGAGGGACAGGGUCAGUCUCACAUCUCCAUGCCCAGGAUAUGAUGAAAGUUUCUGUGUUUCAAGACCGGAAAGAACGGCAUAUCGCUAAACAAACAAACAAAACACCCUAAAAAAGAAAAAAG